ensembl:lncRNA
AUGACAAAAUUUCCACGGAGAAAAAGUUGCUAUCGUGUUUCAGGAUUUACAGAGCCAAGCAACCCAGUGAAGAAGACAAUGAAGAGUUGUGCUAGAGCAGUAUUUGAAGAAACCUCUAGGUUUUUAGGAAAUCCUCCAGAGAAAACAAAGAUAAGUAAAAUAAUUGUUACCUCCUUAAAAAUAGGUUAUGCUAUCAUAAGAAAAUUAAAUAUUUAGUCUCAAAAAAUGUUUUUGUUUAUUUAGACUUUUUAACUUGUUGUUUCUUCAUCCUCAUGAAAUGCCCAUCUCCCUGUAUCUUCCCUUACUUGACUCAAUUUCCAUCUAGCCCUUCCUUAUGAUUUUACAAAUCAAUAGGACCAGAAUGUAGAUCUUCUGUGUGUUUUGCCAUCAAAAGAAAGAAGAGUCCAGAUAGUGUUCUGAAAAGUGGGGAUGACAGGAGAUUUAGCCUGCAGCUCAUCUUUAUCUUUAAAUCCUUAAAAGCCCUUGAUACAUAUUUUUUUUUUUACAGAUUUCUUUAUUUAUGUUCUAUAAAUGGACAGUUACAGUCUUUUUCUAAGACAGUAAUGAAUUCUUCCUCAUGAGCAUGUCAGCAAACAGAAUAAGCCGAAAACCUCCAGUGACUGCUGUCCAAAUGAAGAGGAAGGAAAGGCUGACAUUUAAUCAUUUCAUAGUGAGUAUUGAUGCCUAAUUGCCAGUUUCACUGUAUCUCUAGCUCACUUGUCAGUGCCUGAGUGCCAUUUCCCAGUAUUCACAUGUAGCUUGUGAAAUCCUUGUUCCUUCUAAUUUGUUUGUAAUUCCAUUCAUAUCUAGGAAUGGAAAUAUGCAGGAGUGCUGUCUUUUAUGUUCUUCUGUCAAAAUACAAAGAUAUUUGGAAAACUGUUCACCUUUCUAUUGAAUUUCAUUCUUCUUUUAGAUGCAAAAUAUAUUUUUUCAUCCUUAAAGACUACAUAUUUAAUGAGGAAUGAAGUAUAGCAAUGCUGUACUUGAUGUACUCCAGGAUACAAUUGAACCUUUUGGCUAUCAAUGUCAUAUCAUAGAAAAUAACAUGAAGAUGUAAGUAAGAAUGAUACGAUGUUCCUUGCAUCUCUAGUUUUGAUAUUUGUCUUCACUCAAACUUUCACUAAAAUUAGAGAGUAGAUGAGUUAGAGAUCAUAGAAUCAUAGAAUGGCUCAGGUUGGAAGGGAUCUUAGAGAUCAUCUAACUCCAACCCCCCUGCCUUGGGCAGGGAUGCCACCCACUAGAUCAGGUUGGCCAAGGCCCCAUACAGCCUGGCCUGGAACACCCCCAGGGAUGGGGCAGCCACAACUUCUCUGGGCAACUUGUUCCAAUGCUUCACUACCCUUACAGUGAAGAAUUUCCUCCUAAUGUCUUGUCUAAAUCUAUCCUCUUUGAGUUUAAGACCAUUCCCCCUUGUCCUAUCAUUUUCUUCUCAAGUAAAGAGUUUUUUUUUUUUUUUUGUAAGACCCCCUUUAAGCAUUGAAAGGCCACAGUAAGGUCUCCGUGUAGCCUUCUCUUCUCCAGGCUGAACAUCUCCAGCUCUCUCACCCUUUCUUCAUAGAAGAGAUGGUCUUCAUAGGCCUGCUGGUCAUCCUCGUAGCCCUCCUCUGGACACUCUCUAACAGGUCCACAUCUUGUGCCCCAGACCUGGAUGCAGUACUCCAGGUGGGGCCUCGCAAGGGUAGAGUAGAUGCAAUCCUAUGCUGCUUUUCACCUUGCUGUGUUGCCUUCUUUUUCUGAGGGUACUCAAAAAGACUGGUGAUGAAUUUGUAAUUUGUUAUUUGUAAUUUAUUUAUUUAUUUAUUUUAGAACAGCCCCCUUUUAGGAAAAUUGAUGCAAAUUCAAAGUCUUCCACAUAGUGUGCCUGAAUGUGAAUGUCAGAUUAACUGCAGACCAAGUUGCGAAAUACACGAUUCAGAUUAACUGCAGACCAAGUUAUGAAAUAUAUGAUUUUUCAGUAUAAUUUUCCUUCUUUUACUAGAAGUGCCCUAAAAGAAUAUAUUACAUAUAUUCUUACACUGGCAUUCCUACAGAAUUUUUACUUUAUCGUUUCAGCUCUUGUUUCUCUCCUCACACACACAUCCCAUUACCAAUAAGAACUCAAAAUGAUUGACAAAAAUGGAAGUUUUCAUAAUGCAAAAUUAUCAUUCUGCCACAAUGAGCUUCAGUUUGCUUUUGCUAUAUGCAGAUAAGUCCUCUGUUGAAUUUAAUCAGAAGAGCUAUGUACUCUGUUGAAUAGGAGAUAUUGACAGUUCCUAAACUUUACAUUUUGCUAUUCUUUUUUCCUUCAAUAUUAUUUAAGUGACAACAAGAAAAAAUAAAAUGGCUACAGCAUGUAUGUAUUUAUCCCUG